UCAAACUGAAAGCAAGCCUCCUGCCUC
rnacentral:piRNA from 1 species